rnacentral:rRNA from 1 species
GUGAGGAAUAUUGGUCAAUGGGCGAGAGCCUGAACCAGCCAUUCCGCGUGAAGGAAGAAGGCCUUACGGGUUGUAAACUUCUUUUCUAUAAGGAGAAAAUGCCUGACGAGUCGGGUAUUGACGGUAUUAUAGGAAUAAGCAUCGGCUAACUCCGUGCCAGCAGCCGCGGUAAUACGGAGGAUGCAAGCGUUAUCCGGAUUUAUUGGGUUUAAAGGGUGCGCAGGUGGUUUUAUAAGUCAGUGGUGAAAGUCUGUCGCUUAACGUCAGGAUUGCCAUUGAUACUGUAGGACUUGAGUAUGGAUGAGGUAGGCGGAAUGUGUAGUGUAGCGGUGAAAUGCAUAGAUAUUACCCAGAACGCCGAUUGCGAAGGCAGCUUACUAAUCCAUUACUGACACUGAGGCACGAAAGCGUGGGGAUCAAACAGGAUUAGAUACCCCUGUAGUCC